rnacentral:rRNA from 1 species
UCCGGAAAAUCAAGGCUGAGGCGUGAUGACGAGGCACUACGGUGCUGAAGCAACAAAUGCCCUGCUUCCAGGAAAAGCCUCUAAGCAUCAGGUAACAUCAAAUCGUACCCCAAACCGACACAGGUGGUCAGGUAGAGAAUACCAAGGCGCUUGAGAGAACUCGGGUGAAGGAACUAGGCAAAAUGGUGCCGUAACUUCGGGAGAAGGCACGCUGAUAUGUAGGUGAAGUCCCUCGCGGAUGGAGCUGAAAUCAGUCGAAGAUACCAGCUGGCUGCAACUGUUUAUUAAAAACACAGCACUGUGCAAACACGAAAGUGGACGUAUACGGUGUGACGCCUGCCCGGUGCCGGAAGGUUAAUUGAUGGGGUUAGCGCAAGCGAAGCUCUUGAUCGAAGCCCCGGUAAACGGCGGCCGUAACUAUAACGGUCCUAAGGUAGCGAAAUUCCUUGUCGGGUAAGUUCCGACCUGCACGAAUGGCGUAAUGAUGGCCAGGCUGUCUCCACCCGAGACUCAGUGAAAUUGAACUCGCUGUGAAGAUGCAGUGUACCCGCGGCAAGACGGAAAGACCCCGUGAACCUUUACUAUAGCUUGACACUGAACAUUGAGCCUUGAUGUGUAGGAUAGGUGGGAGGCUUUGAAGUGUGGACGCCAGUCUGCAUGGAGCCGACCUUGAAAUACCACCCUUUAAUGUUUGAUGUUCUAACGUUGACCCGUGAUCCGGGUUGCGGACAGUGUCUGGUGGGUAGUUUGACUGGGGCGGUCUCCUCCUAAAGAGUAACGGAGGAGCACGAAGGUUGGCUAAUCCUGGUCGGACAUCAGGAGGUUAGUGCAAUGGCAUAAGCCAGCUUGACUGCGAGCGUGACGGCGCGAGCAGGUGCGAAAGCAGGUCAUAGUGAUCCGGUGGUUCUGAAUGGAAGGGCCAUCGCUCAACGGAUAAAAGGUACUCCGGGGAUAACAGGCUGAUACCGCCCAAGAGUUCAUAUCGACGGCGGUGUUUGGCACCUCGAUGUCGGCUCAUCACAUCCUGGGGCUGAAGUAGGUCCCAAGGGUAUGGCUGUUCGCCAUUUAAAGUGGUACGCGAGCUGGGUUUAGAACGUCGUGAGACAGUUCGGUCCCUAUCUGCCGUGGGCGCUGGAGAACUGAGGGGGGCUGCUCCUAGUACGAGAGGACCGGAGUGGACGCAUCACUGGUGUUCGGGUUGUCAUGCCAAUGGCACUGCCCGGUAGCUAAAUGCGGAAGAGAUAAGUGCUGAAAGCAUCUAAGCACGAAACUUGCCCCGAGAUGAGUUCUCCCUGACUCCUUGAGAGUCCUGAAGGAACGUUGAAGACGACGACGUUGAUAGGCCGGGUGUGUAAGCGCAGCGAUGCGUUGAGCUAACCGGUACUAAUGAACCGUGAGG